AUGGCCACGUACUACCCUUCCGGCGCCUCCGCGCUCCUGCUCCCCGUCCCGCGAACCCGCGCCGCCUUUCCGCAGAGGUUUCCCGGUCCGGCUUCCGGGAGGAGCUCUCCCUGUGCAGCUGUUCGGCCGCAGCGGAGGGGAAGGGGAGCGGUGGGCGUCGUGCGAGCAUGCUUCAAUCCUUUCGGGGACGAACGCAUCCUCCGGGAGGCCUUGAAGGAGCCAGUUGCAUUCAUGGGUGGCGUGUUUGCUGGUCUCUUGAGGCUUGACCUGAAUGAGGAUCCUCUCAAGGAGUGGGUAACUCGAACGGUAGAGGCUUCUGGAAUAGCUGAAGAGAAUAGUGCUGAGGAAUCAGAUGAGGGAGCUCAAAAUGAUGGACCCCAACAAAUUGAGAUUGAGUGA
rnacentral:rRNA from 1 species